rnacentral:rRNA from 1 species
AUUGAACGCUGGCGGCAUGCUUUACACAUGCAAGUCGAACGGCAGCGCGGGCUUCGGCCUGGCGGCGAGUGGCGAACGGGUGAGUAAUGCAUCGGAACGUGCCCAGGAGUGGGGGAUAGCCCGGCGAAAGCCGGAUUAAUACCGCAUACGACCCGAGGGUGAAAGCGGGGGACCGAAAGGCCUCGCGCUAUUGGAGCGGCCGAUGUCGGAUUAGCUAGUUGGUGGGGUAAAGGCUUACCAAGGCGACGAUCCGUAGCUGGUCUGAGAGGACGACCAGCCACACUGGGACUGAGACACGGCCCAGACUCCUACGGGAGGCAGCAGUGGGGAAUUUUGGACAAUGGGGGCAAGCCUGAUCCAGCCAUGCCGCGUGCGGGAAGAAGGCCUUCGGGUUGUAAACCGCUUUUGUUCGGGAAGAAAUCCUCUGGGCUAAUACCCCGGGGGGAUGACGGUACCGGAAGAAUAAGCACCGGCUAACUACGUG